GAAAAGUGUGAGUAGGAUUGGUAUUAUUUUUUAAAAAAUGUUUGGCAAUAUUCAUCAGUGAAACCAAUGCAUCUCAGGUCUUCUUUGUUGGGAGACACACAUAUAUAUAUAUAUAUUUAUGGCUUUGAUCUCAUUACUUAUUACUGGUCUAUUUAGGUUUUGAAUUUGUUCUAGGUUUAAUCUUGGUAGGUUUUAUUUGUCUAGUAAUUUAGUCAUUUCUUCUAGCUUUUCCUAUUUAUUGGUGUAUAGUUGCUUAUUGUAGUCUCUGCGAUAGUUAAUAUUGAGUGUCAACUUGAUUGGAUUGAACGAUUGAAGGAUACAAAGUAUAGAUCCUGGGUGUGUCUGUGAGGGUGCUGCCAAAGGAGAUUAACAUUUAAGUCAGUGGGCUGGGAAAGACAGACCCAUACUUAAUCUGGGUGGGCACAAUCUAAUCAGCUGCCAGCAUGUCUAGAAUAUAAGCAGGCAGAAAAAUGUGGAAAGAGGAACUGGCCUAGCCUCCCAACCUACAUCUUUCUCCCAUGCUGGGUGCUUCCUGCUCUCAAAAUUGGACUCAAAGUUCUUCAGUUUUGGAACUCA
rnacentral:lncRNA from 1 species